rnacentral:lncRNA from 1 species
GGGGAGGUGCCAGGCUGCUGAGGCCUUUGGGUUCCUAGGCUGCUGGCAUUUUAAAACCACCACUGUAUUCCACCUCCCCUUGGAUAACACGCAGAAACAGGCCAAGAAGAAAUUACCUGCUGUUGGUUAUUUCUAUUUCAAAUGAAUACUAGCUGAACAUUUACUAAAUGACAUUGUCAGGUUUCAGCAAAAGCGGCCUGUAAUAGUUGGGUUUUGGCAGAGUUCAAAGACUGGGAAGCAAAGUUCAGCCAUGUUGGGCCUUUGGGCUCAUAGAUGAGCAAGGGUACCCCAAUAUGAGGGCUCAGCAAAUUCUGGAACUUAUCAGUUCUGAAGACCUUUAGAGGAGAAGGAGACAAGUAAAAGGUAUGUAGUCCUGGAGGGCGCUGCUUAAUGAACCAGAAGUCCUGCCUCUUAAGUACCUCACCAGCUCAAAUGUGUGCAUGUCACCUUGGCGUGAAUCGGAGCAGGCGCUGGUGGAUACCGUUUGGAGGCAUGCCAGCAAGGAGCUCCUUGUGUAGCCUGCCUCUGGAGCCUCAAGUUCAACUUCCAUAGGGCCAAAAGGGGAGUCGGGCUGGGCAGAAGCUCCUGAGAACCAAAGCAAAUGGUCUGAGAGUCUGAGAGUGUAGUGGAGGUAACGUGUUCGUGUCCUCUCUGGCUGCAUCACCCCAAGUCCUUGCAGACUCAAGUAGCCUAUUUGCAAGUUUAAAUAGUUUGAGUCCUGGCCGGUAACAAGAAUACUCUACAGUGGCCCAGAGUCAGGGAUAUAGAGUGGCGACUACUUGGCAGAACUGGAGCUUGCUCAGAUGAAAAGAUAAAUUGUACUGGUUAAACGAAGAUCAAGUGCAGGGUCUGGACUUUGUUUCUAUCUUUCAUGUGGACUCUAUAAGCACCUACACACAGCAUUCUAGAAACACUGCUCCCAUCCCUCCUGUCUCAUGUCAUCCUCCCAAUUCCGGGAGUUGGGGGGCAUACUCUUUCCCUGUGUCAUGUGAGAAAUUCCUUUCUCAUGGGAAGCAGGUGGCAUUCCUGGACUCUCCUUGGCCUGGCCGUUGGUAAGCACAGGAAUUCAAGGUGUCUGAAUCUCUUGUCAAAGGUGGGCUGUAAGGCUCCAGAAGAGGAGGACAGAAAGUGCCUGCAGAGCUCCUGCCUGAGGCCUUUGGAUGGGCCCUGCUGGCUUGCCGUGUGUGUGUGUGUGUGUGUGUGUGUGUGUGUGUGUGUGUGGUGUCGUGCUUAUUUGCCCCAAAUGAGGCAAGAGAGCAGUGAUCAGGUGUCUCCCCAGCAUCUAGUUUCAUGAAGACAAUAGAAGUGGGUCGGAUCAGGCCUGCUGCCAUGCUUGGCUUGCCCAUGUCUCCUAGGAUUGGCUGCCUGGUGGCCAUCCCUUUGCCAUCCCCUUGACUGCCCUGUGAAUGAUGUCCACUCUGAGACCCCAGGCCACUCAGAAAAACUGAAGAUUCUCAAGUUCAGGUGCAGUUAGGGGGCAGGUCCUGGUGGUGGGGGAGCUUUGAUGUUCUGCAGUUGGAGGAUCCUCUUUCAGAAUAGUAAUGCAAUUUGUGAAUUAAUAAAAUUAGGUAUGCAAGAGGAUAUGUAGAAAAGAAAAAUCACAAGCUACACAAUUUUUAAGUUGACAAAACUACGAACAUCACAAAAUAAUAUGAUAUUUUAAAUUAAUUAUCUGCCUGGAAUACUCUGUCAUUUUUUUUUGAUCUUUUGCCUGCAUCGUCUUUGAUAGCAGUGUUUUUGAUAUUGCUUUUUAUAGAGAGACUCAAGAUAAUGGAGUCUACUCUGUUGUGGUUAAUUAAACAUUUUUUGGUGUUAUUCAUAGUUUGAGAUGUUUCUUUUAGCUUCUCAACCUGCUAUACAGAUAAAAAGCACUUUCAUGUCAGGUAAAUAUUUAGAAUUGUUGCCAAAUUUUAAAUUUCCUCCAUCAAUUUUCUUUCAUAUGUCAUAUAUGAGUUGUGAGAUUUGGAAGGAUAUUUCAGA